rfam:TPA: Bos taurus chromosome X, whole genome shotgun sequence.
GUGUGCAGUGCCCUGCCCAGACAGGUGCAGUUCAUGUAGAAUUGGUGUACUGUGCUGCAGCUGGGUAGAGUAAGGCUCA